rnacentral:lncRNA from 1 species
ACAUCUGUCUUGCUUUACUAUCUUGCUCAGAAUUACAGCAUAUGCAUAGUCUAGGUUGCUCUAGAUUGGUUACCUCUUGCUUAUAUCUGCUAUCUUUCAGUAUAUGCUAGAUUAGAUCUCAAUCAUUUAUAAACUUAAAUCAUGUUGACAAUGCUAGUUGAAAUAGUUAUUGCAUUAUAAGUUCCACAAAUUGAUAAAUCUUUGGGGAAUAAUCUGAGGGUAGAGCUACAACUGAUUCGUGCGCUUGCGGUUCAAACUGGCGUGCUAAUUGCCACCAACAAUCGUUAGAUCAUCUUAUGCUUGUUACUUUUACCAGCUACCUGUGGUGUUUAUGCUAUUUAUAGCUGUUCUAAUCAUGCAUUUGAAGUUGUUGCAGUAUGCUAAAGUCAAAGGGAGUCCCGAAUACAAUUAAUGCACAUUCAUGCUUUAAAAGUGCUACGUUGGCAUCUAAGGCAAUUAGCACAUGUUUAGAGAGUGAUUAGUGCUAUAUUAGUCUUACAAAGUGAGAAAGAAAGAUGUUGUUUCCUUGUACAUUUUUCUUCAAGUGAAUUGAUGGUCAUUACACUUCAAUUCUAACAGUCAAAUUCUAUGAAAUAAAGGAGCAUGCACCAAAUAUAUGUAUAUUUUUAUUUAAAUAAUGAAGUUUCACGAGUUUUGGUCCAUAUUUGACAUAGGGAAUAGGAGGACCAGACCUGGACUAAUUGUAGGGACCUCUUUCAAGAAAUUCCACUGAGUACCUGGAUCAGUAGCUGAUACAAUUCUCAUCACAGUUUUGCAUCAAAAUAAUAAAAGACGUAUAAUAUUAAUGAAAAUGGUUUUCAUUCUUACGUAACGGUGCGUAGAACCAGAAUUUCUAACCUGUAUAAUGAAAGUAAGGUUGAGUACACUUAUGGUUGGUACUCAGCAAAUCCCAACAUUUACUAAAUAAUUACAUGCAAUUUGUGAGGUGGACAAGGAGUAGAG